ACUACACCACACAUGUCUGACUAGAAUUUGUACUCAAUAAACACCCCUCGAUACAAACUACUGGAAUAUACAUUUAACAUACUUGAUUUACUUUUUCUGAAACUUCUUAUUUUGAAUUAUGCAGUUCUCUCGCUAGUCUUAUUAUGUUAACCCCGACAUUAUUGAUGCAACUAUACCUAUAAAAAGAACUUGGAUAAUUGCAAAAGGAAUCAUCAAUUGUGCUCUCCGUAUCGAACACCCUCCUCACAUUUCAAGACUUACAUUUUGCAUCUCCCCAACCUGAAAAAAACUGACUUGCCUCAUGCAUGCACAUCGCGCGAUCCACACCCAAAAAUUAAAACAAAGGUCGUGGAUGGGGUAAUUUGGGAAUGAAAAUGGCCUAACUUGGAACUUAGCAGAUUAAGUAGCAAAGGAAGAUGCAAUUUAAAACCAAUGGAAAGAAGUCAGGAUGGUAAUUGUAGGUUUUAAAAUGUGAGGAAGGUACUUGACAGGAGUAAAGUUCAGGAUGGUAUCAGUACUUUUCCCCAAAGAGAUCUUUCAGUACCUGAAAGUUAUCAAAUGCACGAUGAGGGAUAUUAUCAUCAAAUUGCUUCAUUGCAUCCCAUGGUCCAUCUCCCACACCAACUAAUAUGAUGGAGAGAGGAUAUUGGCUGCUCUACCAAAAAGAAACAAACAGGAUGUCAAGGAAUGUGAUAAUUGCAAAGUCGGAAUAUGUGACCUUUCUUCACCAAGCAGGACAGUAACAAAAACAUGCAAUUCCAAAAUUACCUAGCUGCUACUAUGGAGUUUAUAGUUGCCUGUUCUUGUGGGCUGAAUCUCCCAGGAGGUAAAUCAGGACUUCUAGUAACCUAUGAACCAUGGUGAUGGAACAAUAAGCAUGAGGAAAGAACUUGGUGAUAAAGCAACAAUAAGGAUGUGAUACGCAAAGUAUUGAGAACCUGUCCAUCUGCUAUAAUGACGAGGACAUGAUAUUGCCUGUUGCUCCUAGCCACAAUGUCGAUAGCGGCAUCAAUUAUCGGCGCAAAUGAUGUGGGCCCUAUAAACAACAGUAAUAGAAAGCGUUAAAAACUACCGCAUGGAAGUUUCUAUUAUAUGGACCUUCGACUGCCCGAGACAGCCUUAAAGGAUCCAUCAUAAACUCCUACGGACAAAUUUCCUGUAGGAGACCAACAAAAGAAACAUGAGACAAAAUGAGGGCAAUAAACCAUCCAAAAUGGGGAAAAGAAAAACAUAAAUGAUAAGUUCAUUCAUGGGAAAAUAUCAGUUAACAAAAUGGAAGACUAUCAUGGCUAAGUCAUGGCUCUGGAAGGAACUGGGAGUAUGUUGAGUGAAACAGCUAUUUUAUGACCUAAGUUUAAAACCUAUUCAAAAUAAUAACUUGGUUUACAAGUUGGGAAAGUUUGGCAUGGACGUUUCAAUCUUUAUUUCUUAACCAUGUAGGACCACCGAAACCUCUUGCUCUCCUCUUGGAUUCUUUAUAACGCUAUGAUUUGGGUAACAUUGAUGUCCAUCAAUCCUGCCAUUUAAAGUCUAAUGAAAAUGAAAAACAAAAAUACUACUGAUUUAGACAAGAUGUUUUCUUAUUCUUCACAAUGAUUGAGAACACUGUACUUUGCUCGAACUUGCAGAUUUGUUUAUUUCAGUUUUAAAAGAAGACGAAGACUGCAAAAUAUUUUGGCCUAAAGUAGAAACCAUCACAUAAGAACGAUCGGUAAAGAAGGAGAAAAACCUGACAACUUUAAGUGUGGGACGAUCUCUCUGUAACGUGCAAGCACUUCCUCAAAACCACGACAAGAACGAUGAUCAGAAUAAAAGCUGAAGACUGAUCGAUCAUGUGUUGAUGCUGCAAAAAGCAAUGUGAUGAGAAGAAAGCUUCAAAGGCGAUGAUAAGAAUUCCUACCAAAGCUACAAAUUACCAACAGCACUGACCAUCGCCAAAUCCAAAACAAGGUAUGAGUUCAUCUUCGUCAAAAGGGGACAAUGUUUUGCCGAUUAUAGAAAUUGCUUGCUCAUAUGGAUUAGGUGUGUUACCAGUGGCAUGAAGACUUUUUCUCCCGAAGGAAUAUUUACCUACGAUACAAAAUUCACAUUAUUUUUCCAAUAUAUAGUUUCAUAAAACCUUAAUGCUUUGUUUGUCCAUUGGAAAUAGAAUCACCUGACCACUCAUUGCUCUUUGUGAAAUCAAUACCAAGGAUUAAAUUUGAUGAUUCAAGGCCAGCGUCCCUCAGUGCAGUUGUGACCUAAAAUAUGAGCAUCACAAAUCCCAUUACUGUUUCAUUUUACAUCUUUAAAGUCAAAACAGCCAAAGUAUAAUCACCACAGUUCACAUUCCCAUCUAAUUUCACAGCUUUUCAAUCAAAACUGCCAAUCAACAAACAGCGGAUAGGAUAGACAAGAUUCAGAGAUAAAAAAGAAUAUUAUUAAGAAUCAAAUUAAGACUUAGCUCAAAUUCUGUGGAAAAAUUUUCAACCCAAAAAUUUAAGUAUUUAGACGGAGGGAGACUGCAUGCAUAUAAGAACAAACUUGUAAACAAGUGAUGUAAAUUUUUUAGACAACUCACGUCAGUUACCUCAACUCAAGAACAUAAACCACAUUAAACUUAAAUUUAACCAAAGUGGUACCAGGAAACUACAUUGGCAAGCCCAAUCACAACCCAGCCAAAUCUCCUUGGCACAUAACAGGCAAUGAUGAAGGGAGACAGCAUGUUCAUGAUCCUCCUAAACCUUAAUAGUCAAUGGAAACAAACAAAACAAUAAACACCUGAUCCAAGGAGUUGAAAUUAUCUCCAAAGUGCGUCGAUCGAUGCUCAUGUCCAUAUUUUGACUCCAUUUAGCUUUCUGCAAAAGAAGGUGGUUGAUGCAAAUAAUCAUAAUGAGGGUCAUAUAAGUUGAUUCAUUAUUGCCCAUUUCCAGAAUGACAGAUUUUCCUAUGAAAAGGUAUCUAUAUCUAUGUUUUGCUCAGACUAUCUUAUGAGGUAGAUGGUGGCUUUCUCACAGGAACAAACAAGGACCAAUGAACUACUUUAGAAGUCAACAAUAGUAAAACAUAAUUCUUACAUAAUCUGCUACAUUUCAAGCACACAAAUUACAGCAUGGUCAUUGAAAUUCUUUAUCCAAUAUCUCGGACCUGGAAGUACUUUUUCCCAUAGAAAGAACGCAAGACGCCAUGUUUCUCAAUAACGAUAAAGAAUUAGAAACUAAAAGUUAUUUAUAACCAACAGUUUGAGGGAGACUGCUGAUUCACUUCAAGAUGGCCCGCUUCCUUCAAUCAUCUAUUCCCUCAAAUAGAUCAUAAAUCGUUCAAAAUCUCCCGAUAAAACAUUGCCAUUAUAUAUAACUUGAAACUGAAAAACACAGGUCAGCAAAAAUCCAACCCCCUACAAAAUUUACAGAAUCCAAAUAUGUUAUCGAAGCAAACCAACAAGUCAAUUAGCCAAGCACAAUCACAACAGUUCGACCCACAUGAUUUCCAAGGUUCACAUUAUGGGUCCGGAACCAAGUUCAAGUUCAAGUUCAAGAUCGACCCUUUGGAAAAAGUGAAGAACUUUCCCACAUGUAGUGGCUCAGUUCACUCUAUCUUCAAAAGGGUCUCGAAGAAAGAUCCCGCAGACGCACUGUAAUCAGGUAUUCACCACAGUAAAAUCGAAAAAUUCAAGAAACCGCGUGGCGGAAAGCGGUGACAACGCCAUCAUCAAGAAUUGACAUGGGGAAAGAGAGAGAAAGAUGUACCCGUUCAUAAGUUGGAGGUAAGCCCAAAGAUUUGCAAGCUAUUCAAGAGCCUCCUUCUCUCGAUCGAAGGUCUCCGGAAGACGCAGAGAGAGUGGCCCUCUUGUCGCUUGACCGAUUUCUUCUGAGUCUUCCUGUUUCUUUCUUUCUUUCUUUCUUUUCGGUUUACUGCUUUCUGAAAAUUACUUCUGGCUUUAGCUGGCUCUGCCCCCACGUUCUCCACGUGUCUACUUGCAAUUAUAGGGACCAUCUGUAAUAAAACCUAGUUACUCUAAUUAGGUGCCAAGAUUUACAAAUUCAUCCUUGAUGAGAUUAUAAAAUUUAGGGAAAAAGCCAUGAAAAACCCUGAACUUUACUCAAAGUGACACAUUUACCCCAAACUUUUGUUUGUGACGUAAAAAUCCAAAACUUUGCCAACCAUGACACAUUUACUCCAAACUUUUUUUUGUGAAACAAAAAUCCUGAACUUUCAUUACGUGAUACAUUUACCCAAAAAUUAGAUGGCAUUUUGGUCUUUUCAUUUUUAAAUUUUUUUUUCUUCUCUCUUCCCUCCGCCGGCUCCGCCAUGGCCGGCGGAGGGAAGAAGAAGAAGAAAAAAAAAGGAAAAAACAGAAUAAAAAGACAAAAAUGCCCUUGAUGGGGUAAAUGUGUCACAAUUUAGAAAGUUUGGGAUUUUUCACGUCAUAAAAAAAAAAGUUUUGGGUAAAUGUGUCACUUUAGGCAAAGUUCAGGGUUUUCAUAGCUUUUUCCCUAAAAUUUACUUACUGUGACUCAAUUAUUGACUUAAAGUAUCCAAUCAAAGGCCACUUCGAUAGAAUCCAGAAAUAGAUGCUGAAAAUUUAAGUAUUGAAAUUUAAACACUGAUAAUCUAGAAUCUUAAUAAUCAAAUAAAAGGUUAUUUAGGGUAUGUCUGUUUUUUUUAAAGAUAUUCCUCCGAAAAUAAUCAUUUGUAUUUUGUGAAAUAAUACUUGUUGUUGAUUAAAAUAUUUGUUAUUCAUAUAUUCUUAUAAACAACGGAAGUCAUCAUUCUAAAAAAAUAUAUUUUUUAAGUUAUUUAUAGAAUAGAGCAUUAAUAACAACUGAAUAUUGAAUAUUCAUUGACAGGGGCUCAAUAAUUGACAAGAUCUUGAUUCCUAUCUGGAUCAAGCUUCUUCUCUAUUGUGUCUGAUUAAGGUAUCUACACAGAAAGGGGCCCAAUUUGUCCUUUCGAUUAUUCCCUUUCCUCUUUGUCUUUUCCAUUUUUGUGUUUUGCUUUUUCAGCUAACUAGAUGCACUUCCUCAGCUGGUAGCCUUCUACAUAAAGAACUAUUUAAUAACCAAUUAAGUGUUCAAAAUAAAUGAAAAUUUGAUGAUUGAGCAUCUUAUAGACUUUAAAGAUUCAAUUAAGGCCCGCUUGAUAAGAUUGAAAUAAUUUAAGGACUUAUUAUAAAUGUUGAUAAUCUUAAGGGUUGAAGAUGGAAAAAUAAAAAUCAAAUAUUGAAUUUGGAUUAAUAUUAUUAUCAAAAAUAGCAUUGUCGGAUCGCCAAGGUCGACCUUUGUCCUUGCUCGACAAGUGGUUCUUGCAGUCGAGCUCCCUUGUGGAAGGGUUGUCACUCAACAAAUAAUGGAUAACAGGCUCAUCUUCCCUAGGCGUUCACUUUGACGGCAAAGUUUGCCAUCUUGAUGUAUGCUCUUCACCACCUGUAGGUAAGUGAAUUAUUAUUAGGUUUUAAACAUGUAACAAUGUCAUCGCAACAUUUUUAAUUCCCAUUUGGCUGCCUUUCUUAUUGAAUGAAUUAUGUAUUCACUUCCUCAUUUGCAAAUCAUGUGACUUUCUGACUUAACUAGAUCAAAGCUAGUUACAAUCAUCAUAAGUGGUUAAUUUAUUGAGUACUAAACAAGAUUAAUCCCCCAUAUUUAAUUAGGCCCUCCGGCAAAAUUUCAUUUAGUAUGGUCCCCGUAUGAUAAAACCUAGCAAGUUUGUCAUUUGUAAGGCCAUGUCAUAGUAGAAAAGCCCUAUGAUUUAUUAAACUUUGGUUAUACGAAGUUUAGAGACCAUAUUAUAUUUUUCUUGGGCUACCUAGAUAUUAGCCACUUAAAAAAGAAUCAUCUUUUACAAUGUUCAUUAAAUGCAACAUCUCUUGCGGUCUAGCAAUGGAGAACACCUUGCGAGUGUGCAUGCUGAUAUACAAUCAAGGACCAGACUUGGUUUCUAUCACAAAAAAUUAUUCAUAUUUCGGGUCCUAAAAAGCACAAGUGACAAGUUUGAUUCUCGCUUCACGGACCUUUCAAGGCCAUGACACAAUUGACCAGUUUGUUUGCCAACCAUCCGCUGCAAACAUGAAAUCUGAUUUAGAACAUCACCCGUUUCCCAUGAAGAAGUGAGUAUCCAUUUCCAAACUACUGGAGUUUGGUUGCAAUUUAAAGUGAAACGCAAAUGGGGUCAUUGCAGUUUACACAAGAACAAAACAGUUGAUAAAUGAUACCGCAAGGUACCGUUUGUGGCUUCACAAUCAAUGCUCAAAUGCGCUCUAGCCACUUGAAAGAUUCAUGAUACUGACUCUUUCUUCUUUAUGCGAGCAGGAGCUCACGUGCUGGGGGACCAAAGGCCCCCUUGACCCUCUAGGAUAACAUCUACAUUCUAAUCCCGGUGUCAUUCAUGCCAAUGAACUCAUCUGAGAUUGUAAGAUUGUAAGCUGAUGCAUUGAAAAAUUGUGUCGUAAUGUGGGUAAGGGUCGUGAUAAAAAUGAAGAAUCCUGGACUCGGUAAGUUUUGCUGUCGGUAUAUAGAUAAUAAAUAGAUGAAGCCACGAGGUUGGAGCAAGAAAGUAUGAUGAAUGAUGUGAGGGGCUGGUGAAGGAUCUAUCUCAAAAACCAUACAUGUAUACUAGAAAAACGUAACGUAUUGUUUGAAUGGUAUAUAUCAGCAUCGUAUAAUAUAACACAAAAAAGGUGACGAAAGGUGAGAUUUAAGUAUCAUAUCUACCAGAACUUGAUUCUGAUUUAGUUUUGAUUGAAUCUCACAAAUCAUGGGAUUGUAGUUGUUAACCCACAAAUCAUAGGAUUGUAGCUUUCCUCCUAUUUAGGCUUUGUUUCCUUUUUGUUUGCUAGGAUUUCUCUAUGCAUUUGCCUACAAAUAUGACACUGUAAAGCUAAAGAAUAUAUGAAUGAUAAUAAGAAUUUCUCUCCAUCUAAAUUUCCACAUGGUAUCAAGGCUGGAGGUUCUGAGUUCAAAUCUUACUUAAUUCAAUUUGCCUCCCCAAUUAAAUUUUCACGUUUAGUAUUAAGCAAAAAGGCCAAGCUAAGCAUGAGGAGAGGAGUGUUAGAAUAUUAAGUUUAAGCUUUUAAAACAGUUGGCCGUAGUCCCAAAAAAUCUCACACUCCCUUCCAUUGCCAACAAAUUGCGGUUAGCUACUUAAAUGUACUCAGAGAUCUCCAUGUUGAUUUGGGUGGACAAGCCAAAUCCUCAAAGAACCAAGAUGAGGGAAAAUUCAAAGUUGUUCCUGGUCUCUAGACAGAAGUAAGGAGAAAGAAAUUUCUUACUCAGAGAGAUGGUAGAUGGAAAGUUGCCACUGAGGUCUUAGUUACUGAUGCCUCCAACAAAAAUAUAGAACAAGGAUUUGGUUGCAUUCAUUACGGGUUAUUGACAAGAAAAGAUAUCACUCAUCUUGUUCAAAGGGUUAACGAAAUGGCCUGUUAGGGGUUUCUGACAGAGUUCUGCUUACCUGUAGCCUCCUCGACUUCAUUUAUGAGUACAACAUACCACUUGCCUACUCUGAUUCCCAGUUGUAGGCCAUGAAAUUGCCACGUGUAUGGUGUUAUUCUUAUCCUCCCAGCUUUUCUAUAAUAUAUGUUUGCAUGUAUCACUAUGGGGUGUAAAGUUAGUAUGCCUCCAUUCACGUACGUAACAUGAAAAGGAUUAGCAACUGGAGUUUUGUAUUGAGACAAGGAGAGACUGGAAAUGUCAAUGUGAGCUUGUCAUGGGCACAUUUGUAGAGUGAACACUGCUCUAGAUGCCAGUUAAGUCAGCUGCGGAGAUUUUUGAAACAAUUCUGAACAUAUCUAUUGUGGUCGACGAGAGGGGAUACACUUCUAUUGCUAGUAUAACUUCUUUUGCGCAAUCUAAUUUUAUCAGUGUAUGUUGCUGGUAUAGCUUCUUUUGCGCAAUCUAAUUUAUCAGUGUCUGUUGCUGGUAUAGCUUCUUUUGUGCAAUCUAAUUUUAUCGGAUGGUGAAUUUGACAAUAAAGGUGAUACCAAUCUUAAAGAUGGUUAGUAAAUGUCCAAAAGAUUCUAAGAAAAUUCAUGGGAAAAAUGUCCUUGCUUAUCAAAUUCUGUUCUUUUUCCUCCGUUGACUUUUAUCCCCUUCGGAUCCAGCAUUUUAGUUUAUCAAUUUUUGUUAGGGUAGAGAGAUGACUCUUAAGUCUCGUCACCUAACGGUUUUUUAGAACUAAAGCACUGUCUGAAAUUAAAUCCGGAAGGAUCUAUGCUUAAAGGGGGAAAAGGCAUUGUGAUUUUCGAGGGAUUGUAGACCCUCCCCACUUUGUAAAUGGCUUUGCAUUCAAGCUCUUCUCCUCAGAUUGGUAUGGCUAUGAAGAAAACCAUAGGAAAUGACAAUAUAGGAUAGGAUCAAAUACGAAAUCUAUCCAUCAUUUGAGAAAAUACAGAAAGUUAGGGCAAAUAUACACAUCUAAUCUAUAAAAAAAAAAAGUUCAAAUCCACGGAGAAGUACAAACACAUCACAAUUUGCUUAGGAGACGCAAUCAAUCAGCAAACAAUUCACAUUCACGACUAAGUUAUCCAUUUUGUAACUUAAAAUCAUCUGCUCAUCUUCCCUUCUGCUGCUAAUACUCUCUUCGAUGGUUACCGCGAGCAAUGGCACAAGUCGAUGAUUUGACAAUCCAAUGCCAAUGCCGGGACUUUCACUAUUGCUCUUGCGAGCAUCGAAGCCCAUGUCACUUAAGUAUACAGUCUCAAACGGGUUGUGAUGGGCUGUCGGCACAAAGCUCUCCACUUUGUAAAUGGCUUUGCAUGUCUGGAAAGAAAUAAGGAGAUGACAUACGUAAGCUUACAUUAUCCAUAGCAAUACAGAUAUUGUCUCUCUCUAUCUCUCUAUCAUGUGAAGGAAUAAUUACUUCCACAUUUAAUUGUAGUUCGUACAUCUUUUCAAGUCUAGUUAGCCUUCGAUGAGAACAUCUCCUGCCCCAUAGAUGCUACUACUGUGGUAUUCUUUCCCGUUUAGGAUGAGGAUAGUCCCACCAUUUGUCAAAGAUAAUUUUGCGGGCAUACUCGUGAUUAGUUAAGUACGUGAGAUUUCUGGGGCAUGAUAAACAGCAAUAUUGUAUAAUAAGCUCAUUGAUUUGCUGAGCCACAGCCAACUUCGACAAAACCAGUGGAUUGAGAGCCGGAAGUUUCUUUGGAAAAUAUAUAGAAGUAACUAACUUUGCAGUAAUACUGGGUACAACCAAUUUUAUGCUUUUAGCUUUCAUUAUCAAGUAAAAUUCUACUCUAUUAGAUUCUAGCCUGAAAGUGAAAGCAAGUUCAGGUGGGAAAUGGUUAUAACAGGUGGAAACGUUAUACUCCACGAAUUGGAGGCCAUAUAAAGAAUGAUGCUAAUUGCUGAAUAGAGAAUGACUCACCAGAUGGGCCACAUCCAAAGGCCAUGUUCUUUGGAUUUGUAAGGCAAAUGGGGCAAACCUUGAAGAACACAAGCAGCUAAGUGCGGAUUUACAUUUAAUGAAGAACGUGAAGUUUCACAAAAUAAAAAAUAAAUAAAAAAUAAAUAAAAAGGUGAUUAAAUGACACUUAUUUUCCCGAAGCUGUUUCCUGAGUUUGUGGAGAACUAUCUGGGAUUGACUUAUCCAAGCUGGUAUGACCAGUGACUCCAGGUGGGGGUGGAAGUGGCCUUAUACGAGGACCAGUCACUGCCUCCCUGCAGUAUAAGCAGAAUUUACAUUAUAGCAGGCCUCAAUGCAAUGUAGAAACAAACAGCUACAGUUCCCAAUCUUACUUGACGUGCGAAAUGCUUUGAGUGGCUCUAUACUGAAGGGGAAUUUCCAUGAGAGCAGCAAGAGCAAAGGCAGUCUCUUUCUUUGAAGUAUCUGUGUUCUCAGACAUGAUUUUUGUGAAGUUGACAAACUGCGUAGUGGAACAAUGAAUAAACAAGAAGGUUAAAAGCAAAAAGAAAAAGAAAAAAAAUGUGGUGGAAUUUAUUGAUUCUAAAAUAACAUUUUAAACUUAAAAUGUGUACUCGGGGCACUAUUUACUACUGUCAGAGAGGAAUAAAUCAGACCAUAUUAUAAAAAAGUUCAAAGAAAGGGGACUUCACAAUAAAAAGUGGCUGGAGAUCCAGAAUUACUCCAUACCAAACCAAAAGCCCUAAUCCAGUCUAAACAUUAUUCAACAGCACAGUAAUCGGCAGUAACUACGCCAUACAUGUCUGAAUAGAAUUUGUACUCAAUAAACACCCCUCAAUACAAACUACUGGAAUAUACAUUUAACAUACUUUAUUUAUUUUUUCUGAAACUUCUUAUUUUGAAUUAUGCAGUUCUCUCGCUAGUCUUAUUAUGUGAACCCCGGCAUUAUUGAUGCAACUAUACUUAUAAAAAGAACUUGGAUAAUUGCAAAAGGAAUCAUCAAUUGUGCUCUCCGUAUCAAACACCCUCCUCACAUUUCAAGACUUACAUUUUGCAUCUCCCCAACCUGAAAAAAAAACUGACUUGCCCUCAUGCAUGCACAUUGCACGAUCCACACCCAAAAAUUAAAACAAAGGUCGUGGAUGGGGUAAUUUGGGAAUGAAAAUGGCCUAAUUUGGAACUUAGCAGAUUAUGUAGCAGAGGAAGAUGCAAUUUAAAACCAAUGGAAAGAAGUCAGGCUGGUAAUCAUAGGUUUUAAAACGUGAGGACGGUACUUGACAGGAGCAAAGUUCAGGAUGGUAUCAGUACUUUUCCCCAAAGAGAUCUUUCAGUACCUGAAAGUUAUCAAAUGCACGAUGAGGGAUAUUAUCAUCAAAUUGCUUCAUUGCAUCCCAUGGUCCAUCUCCCACACCAACAAAUAUGAUGGAGAGAGGAUAUUGGCUGCUCUACCAAAAAGAAACAAACGAAAAGUCAAGGAACGUGGUAAUUGCAAAGUUGGAA
rnacentral:lncRNA from 1 species